AAAUUGAAGAGUUUGAUCAUGGCUCAGAUUGAACGCUGGCGGCAGGCCUAACACAUGCAAGUCGAACGGUAACAGGAAGAAGCUUGCUUCUUUGCUGACGAGUGGCGGACGGGUGAGUAAUGUCUGGGAAACUGCCUGAUGGAGGGGGAUAACUACUGGAAACGGUAGCUAAUACCGCAUAACGUCGCAAGACCAAAGAGGGGGACCUUCGGGCCUCUUGCCAUCGGAUGUGCCCAGAUGGGAUU
rnacentral:rRNA from 1 species